rnacentral:rRNA from 1 species
AACGAACGCUGGCGGCAUGCCUAACACAUGCAAGUCGAACGAGACCUUCGGGUCUAGUGGCGCACGGGUGCGUAACGCGUGGGAACCUGCCCUUAGGUUCGGAAUAACUCCCCGAAAGGGGUGCUAAUACCGGAUAAUGUCUUCGGACAAAGGAUUUAUCGCCUUUGGAUGGGCCCGCGUUGGAUUAGCUAGUUGGUAGGGUAAAAGCCUACCAAGGCGACGUUCCAUAGCUGGUCUGAGAGGAUGAUCAGCCACACUGGGACUGAGACACGGCCCAGACUCCUACGGGAGGCAGCAGUGGGGAAUAUUGGACAAUGGGCGAAAGCCUGAUCCAGCAAUGCCGCGUGAGUGAUGAAGGCCUUAGGGUUGUAAAGCUCUUUUACCCGGGAUGAUAAUGACAGUACCGGGAGAAUAAGCUCCGGCUAACUCCGUG